GACAGAGGGGGCAAGCGUUGCUCGGAAUUACUGGGCGUAAAGGGCGCGUAGGCGGUGCGGUAAGUCACCUGUGAAAUCUCCUGGCUCAACUGGGAGCUUGCAGGCGAAACUGCCGUGCUGGAGUGUGGGAGAGGUGCGUGGAAUUCCUGGUGUAGCGGUGAAAUGCGUAGAUAUCAGGAGGAACACCUGUGGCGAAAGCGGCGCACUGGACCACAACUGACGCUGAGGCGCGAAAGCUAGGGGAGCAAACAGG
rnacentral:rRNA from 1 species